CAUAUGCUUCUAUAUAUGUUAGACAUCUUAAUAUACCCUGGGUUAGCGGCAGCGUAAGAUGGUGUUUAAGAAGAAAGGCUCUGCAAGACUCCGUCUCAAAAAAAGAAAAAUAAAAAAAAGAAGAAGAAAGGCUCUGGAGGCAGAUAUACUGCAGCCAGAUCCCGGCCCAAUAGCUGGAGGGCCAGAAGGUGGGGCGGUACCUCAGGAUAAUGGCAGCAGAAGGCAAAGGGAGCAGACAGCUGGCAAGCUCUGUCCCAAUAUGCUUCCCUGAAAGAGGCGAGGAAAUUUCAGAAGAUGCAAUGCCUGAAUGGCUCACUUUGCAGGAAAACAGAAGAACCAAGGAAUACAACAUGUUUAAGACCACAGAACAUCUGCAUAGGCUGUAAAUUUCGUUGAAUGAUGGAUGCAAAGAUGGAAGACAGAUGGAUAGAGGAAAAGACAGAAUCAGAUACUGGAUGAGUUAGUACUGCUGCCUGUGCUUCAGAGCUGUCUUAUUACCACAAGGCCGGCAAGCAUCAAUGUCCCCACAUCCCCCUCUGCCUCCCCCUGAAAUGUACCGAUUUAUAUGAAAAUUAAGAUUACAAAUUAAAGCCUGGCUAUCCUGGAGUUUUCCAGUUCAUCAGCCAUCCAAUAAAAAUGAUGUCAAGCCUGUAUGCAUAAUUCCCGGAAGAUUACUUUCGUCCUUACAGCUAAGCCCUGUCCCUGAUAUGAAAGAUCUCUAUCCACUUUUAUUGAAAUAAAGAACUAACAUCAUAAUCCCAAUAUUGAGGUAUAAUCUUCAUUAUCUCCUGACCCUCUUGAGGUUCCCCCAAUCUAUAUUACUUCAGAUUUGGUUUAUGUGUAAUCCUUAUGUAUUUACUUUUAUUGAGAUAGGAUUAAAAACUAAAAAAAAAGCUUCAA
rnacentral:lncRNA from 10 species